CAUCUCUAAAAUAGCUAAAAAGUGAGUGACUACUUGUUCAAUUGGCUCAGAAAACGUAAACAGACUAAAGAAGUUAAAAUGAUCUUUAUCUUUCAAUCUCGAUGUCACUUGUUCU
rnacentral:sRNA from 1 species